rnacentral:rRNA from 1 species
UGGGGAGUCUUCGGCAAUGGGCGAAAGCCUGACCGAGCCAUGCCGCGUGAGUGACGACGGCCUUAGGGUUGUAAAGCUCUUUCGACGGGGACGAUAAUGACGGUACCCGUAGAAGAAGCCCCGGCUAACUUCGUGCCAGCAGCCGCGGUAAUACGAAGGGGGCUAGCGUUGUUCGGAAUUACUGGGCGUAAAGCGCACGUAGGCGGACCGUUAAGUCGGGGGUGAAAUCCCGGGGCUCAACCCCGGAACGGCCUCCGAUACUGGCGGUCUUGAGUCCGAGAGAGGAUGGUGGAACACCCAGUGUAGAGGUGAAAUUCGUAGAUAUUGGGUUGAACACCGGUGGCGAAGGCGACCAUCUGGCUCGGUACUGACGCUGAGGUGCGAAAGUGUGGGGAGCAAACAGGAUUAGAUACCCGCGUAGUCC